CCCAAGGACGCAAAGAUGAGUGAGCUCUGCAUACACACAGUCACUAGGCGACCUGCAGUCACACGCACAUACUGAAGGGCUGUUACAAAGAAGAUAUGGGCAGGGCACAGUGAUGGAGAUGGUAGACUCUGCCCAGGAGCUGCUGAGGCCUCACCAGGCCCUGGAAGACAGAACGGAAGGACAAUAGAGCUCUGCUUCUAGGGUAUCCAGCUUAAGACAUGGUUACUUGGAGACAGCUCCACUUCCUUGUCUCUGCAAUAACGAGCUGUUUUGCUCAUUGUGGUUCUGCUAUUCAGAUCCUCAGGGAGUUCUCUUUGGUUGUAAAAUAUUAAGUCCUAAGAAUACCAGUGAUUUGGUGAUCAAGAACCCCAAGAGCUUAUGCGUAAGUCAGCGCUUCCCAUGAUUAUGCGCCGAAGUCUGAAAGAUAAGAAGUGGUCCUUACCUGAAAGAUAAGAAGUGAGAGGGGCACUAAGUUCUAAGCCUGGCAGUUGGUUCAGAUUCCUCCAUCUCUCAUAUUCUCCUGUGUAAUCUCCUUAUUGGCUAUAGAAUAAAAUAAAAACUU